ACCUGUGUGUGUUCCCUGCUCAUUGUCGUUUCCAUGGUUUUGCUGAUUCUAUGCGAUUCUUCCAGGCCACUCCAAGUUCCACCUCUUCCACGAAGCCCUCCUUGAUUGCUGGGCCCUGGUUGAACUCCUUAUUAGUAACACCCAGGUUAGUCCUACUUAAUUCUUACCUGCAGCCAAAGUGGACUUAGCAUCUCCUUGCAUGCCUGGUAAAGUCAAGGGUUUUCAGCCAGGGCCUGUGUAUAAAGCAGAAGCAGCACAGAGUCUGGUUUGAAGCUUAGUGCUUGGGUUCAGACAGUUGUGGGUUACAAUCCCUUCUACACAUGUUCUCUGUGGAAACCAUUUGGUUCUCUGUGCUUGGAACUCGCCUGCAACGGGACAAAGCCAUCUCACCUAGACUGUUGUUAUGAAGAUUGAAUUAGGUGAUUCUGAGAGGCAUUUAUGCGUCCUCCCUGAGUAACAAUCCAUGAAAAGUGGGCGUCAUUGCUGAAGCUCAAGGAAGAAAUAUGAAAUUUGAUUAUAUCCUUAUUCACGGCAUUGGGUCACCAACUCAGCACUUUUUAUGAAAGUAGCAUCUGACCUGGCAAAGGCUGUGUCAUCUUAUUACCUCAGAAAGACAAAUUUACGGGGUCAGACGAUGGAUGGCUUGUAGAUUUCUCAAUGGGCUGGAAGGAAGGAGAGAAAAAGAGAGACAGGAGAGAGUACACAUUUAAUUCUGCUUCCCCUAGGGUGAUAUUUCCUUCCUCCCCUUCCAGGGUUCUCAAAAAGGCAUUCUAGGAAGUCCUGUAAAAUACAUGCUCAUAAAAAUCUCAUAAUUUCCACAAAUUGUUGAGAAUUUAAAACUCGGUUGGGAGUUUGCUGUUUCAGCCUGAGACACCGGGGUCACGUUUCAGUGCCUGCAGUCUUGAGACAGUACCAGGCAUCUGGGAUGAAGCUGAGGAAAGAAGAUGUGGGGGCCCUGCUGGCCUGCUCCUUCUCUCGAAAGACGCUUACCGGCUGCUGGUGUGUCACAGGGCUUUAGGAUUUGGAAAAACAGAGGGAUUUAAAAGAAGAUAGAAUGGUCAGAAUUUCGAGAACUGUGUGCUGAAGUGCCAUCUUUAGGGUGCUCAUAACACGGCCUUACAACAUUAGAGGUGCUGGAAUCAUGGAAGAGGCAUCUGGACUCUGUAAUGUCCUUCCCCCUGGAAAAUCUGCUCCAGAAGUGGGGGAUUGGGAGCUGUCAACAUAUGAGCCAUCUUUUGCUCCGUUCAAGAUGGUAGGGGCAUUCUCAACAUGCCCCUCACUCUGAUUCUGCCUCACUUUUAUUUUAGAAUUUUCCACUGCCUUUUCUGGAAUGUGCUUUUUCAACCCUCAAAAUCUGUAGAGAAGAAAUAAGCAGAAACCGAAAUGGCUUUCUGGUGUUCUCCAUGCUCUCAGCUUACUGGAAAAUCGAGCCGCAGGCUCGAGGCUGGACUUUAAGGCAGAGCACUGCAAUUAUAGUGCUAUGGCCUUGGCUUCCUUUCUCAUCACCCAGGUACAGUCCUGCAGUCCUCAGAGGAUGCCAGUCCCACACAGGGGGAUCCUUCUCCAUAGGAAAACCGAGGAACAAUGCAGGUUCGAGGUGCACAGUGGCUAAGCACACUCAGUCCUCAAGAUCUUUCCUCUCAAAUGCUAAUGCUACCUUCAGAUGGGCUGCUGCCUGCUACCAUUUCAACAUUGAGUCCUUUAAGAUGCCAUCAGAGAGAGGGGAAGCAAGAGGCCAAGAAAAAUGAAAGGCCCUGCAUGUUUUUCUUCGGGAAGGCUGUGCAGUCUGCUCUGAGGAGACAGAUCAACCUAGCCCUUCUCCAGGACGAACUCCGAAAACCACAGGAAUUCACGUUCAAAGGAUGACGCAUCUCAGAAUCAGGUGGCCUUUAGUGAGCCAGUGGCUCGGAUUUAUGUGGUCAGAUUCUGAGCCGGCAGACACAAGGACAAGCCAGCGAGAGGUGUGGCAGGACUGGAGAUUCUGUGUAGGUCUGUAUGUGAUGGGCUUUAUGAAAUGCAUCUAUUUAAUGUACUCCAAGCCAAUUCUAAAUGAAG
rnacentral:lncRNA from 10 species